rnacentral:lncRNA from 1 species
UGACAAAGGCUCUCAUCUCACUAUGCAGCUGACCAGAACCCGCUGUCCUCCUACCAAAGGUUCCCAAGAGCAGCUGGUACCUGUUUUUCAAAAGAAAGUAUUUAUAGAACGACAUGGCACAAUGUGACAGCUCCUUUACUCUGAGAAAAUGUGACAGGAUUUCUUAUGGAAAUGACAGAGAAUGAAGCUUCACCAUUGAUGUUUAAUAAAAAGGAAAAG